UACGGAAUGUGCAAACGUUAUUCGGAAUCACUGGGCUUAAAGAGUCCGUAGGCGGCAUGUUAGGUGAGGUGUGAAAUCCCCCGGCUCAACCGAGGAAUUGCGCUUCAAACCGGCGUGCUUGAGGAAGAUAGAGGUGGGCGGAACUGAUGGUGGAGCGGUGAAAUGCGUUGAUAUCAUCAGGAACACCAGAGGCGAAAGCGGCCCACUGGGUCUUUUCUGACGCUGAGGGACGAAAGCUAGGGGAGCGAACGGG
rnacentral:rRNA from 1 species